GACAGACGAUAGUAGUGUUGUGUUGCUACAUGUCAGGACAUUCUGGUAGGAGCAUACAGACAGAAGAUGAUAGUGUUGUGUUGCUACAUAUCGAGAUAUUUUGGUAGAAACAUAAAUACUGACGAUGGUAGUGCUGUGCUGCCACAUGUCAGGACAUUCUGGUAGGAACAUACAGACAGACGAUGGUAGUGUUGUGCAGCUACAUGUCAGGGCAUUCUGGUAGAAACAUACUGACAGAUGAUCAUAGUGUUGUGCUCCUGCUUGUCAGGACAUUCUGGUAGAAACAAGCAGGGAGAAGAUGGUAGUGUUGUGCUGCUACACAUCGGGUCAUUCUGGUAGAAACAUGCAGACAGAAGAUGAUAGUGCUGUGCUCCUGCAUGUGAGGACAUUCUGGUAGAAACAAGCAGGGAGAAGAUGGUAGUGUUGUGCUGCUACGUGUCAGGAAAUUCUGGUAGGAACAUACAGACAGACGAUAGUAGUGUUGUGCUGCUACAUGUGAGGACAUUCUGGUAGAAACAUGCAGACAGAAGUUGGUAGUGUUGUGCUGCUACAUAUCGGGACAUUCCGGUAGAAACAUGCAGACAGAAGAUGGUAGUGUUGUGCUGCAAGAUGUCAGGAAAUUCUCGUAGAAACAUACAGACAGAUGAUGAUAGUGUUGUGCUCCUGCACGUGAGGGCAUUCUGGUAGAAACAUACAGACUGAAGAUGGUAGUGUUGUGCUGCUACAUGUCAGGACAUUCUGGUAGAAACAUGCUGACAGAAAAUGGUACUGUUGUGCUGCUACAUGUCAGGACAUUCUGGCAGAAACAUACAUACAGUAGAUGGUAGUGUUGUACUGCCACAUGUCAGGACAUUCCUGUAGAAACAUACAGACAGAAGAUGAUAGUGGUGUGCUGCGACAUGUCGGGACAUUCUGGUA